GAGUUUGAUCAUGGCUCAGGACGAACGCUGGCGGCGUGCUUAACACAUGCAAGUCGAACGAUGAAGCUCCUGCUUGCAGGGGUGGAUUAGUGGCGAACGGGUGAGUAACACGUGAGUAACCUGCCCCUGACUGUGGGAUAAGCCCGGGAAACUGGGUCUAAUACCGCAUAUGACACCUGGCCGCAUGGUCUGGGUGUGGAAAGUUUUUCGGUUGGGGAUGGGCUCGCGGCCUAUCAGCUUGUUGGUGGGGUAACGGCCUACCAAGGCGACGACGGGUAGCCGGCCUGAGAGGGCGACCGGCCACACUGGGACUGAGACACGGCCCAGACUCCUACGGGAGGCAGCAGUGGGGAAUAUUGCACAAUGGGGGAAACCCUGAUGCAGCGACGCCGCGUGAGGGAUGACGGCCUUCGGGUUGUAAACCUCUUUCAGUAGGGAAGAAGCCUUCGGGUGACGGUACCUGCAGAAGAAGUACCGGCUAACUACGUGCCAGCAGCCGCGGUAAUACGUAGGGUACAAGCGUUGUCCGGAAUUAUUGGGCGUAAAGAGCUCGUAGGCGGUUCGUCGCGUCUGCUGUGGAAACGCAAGGCUCAACCUUGCGCGUGCAGUGGGUACGGGCGGACUAGAGUGCAGUAGGGGAGUCUGGAAUUCCUGGUGUAGCGGUGAAAUGCGCAGAUAUCAGGAGGAACACCGGUGGCGAAGGCGGGACUCUGGGCUGUAACUGACGCUGAGGAGCGAAAGCAUGGGGAGCGAACAGGAUUAGAUACCCUGGUAGUCCAUGCCCGUAAACGUUGGGCACUAGGUGUGGGGCUCAUUCACGAGUUCCGCGCCGCAGCUAACGCAUUAAGUGCCCCGCCUGGGG
rnacentral:rRNA from 1 species